AUGGACGAAGUCGCUUAAACGUCAAAAUCGGCCCUUUUCGCUAACAUUUUAUGGUACAAGUGGGGCAUUUUACCAAUUUAUACCUAUGAAGAUGGAAAACUUAAUGUUUUCCCUGCCUGUAACGUGCAUUUUCUAAGACAUCCGCACUAUUUUCAAGCACUUUUAGGACAAAAUUCCACUAUAGAUUCUUGCACCUCGCAUGACUAAAAUAUUAGUACACACACCAUUCAAAGGCCACCUCGGAAGUGGAACAAAGAGUAAAUAAUCGCGUUAGAGGCCUCCUAUAUGAACUUAUCCUUGUAUAGAAGGUCAAUUAUGGUGUUUGUUAUGUAUUUUAAUUUUUUUUUUUUUUAUAAAUUUGUAAAAGUUGGCAACAGGGCGUCGUCACAAAUAACGUUUUUCUCCUUUUUCUUCGCCUCCGGUUCGAAAUAGUGCGAGUCCGUGACAACGUGUAACGCUAAAUGGCAACGGGUUUAGUUUAGACAGCUGAUUCACUCUUCUUCUCGAAGAAUUUCGACUCGAGAAAUACAGAUGCCGCUUAAGUAAAGAGAAAAUAGUGUUAUCACCACUGGACGACAAGAACCAGGCAAAAUCUUUAAAACCAUUAGGAACCCAUAAAUAAGAUGACUAUUUCUUUGGGUAUCGGGUUACACAAAUGGAACUAGGGCAACUUGAACCCAAAUGAGGGACACUUCGGUUUUGGCCUGAAAAGCGUGCACUUGUCGGAUACAGAACCCUAUUUUAGUUCAAUUUAGCCGUUUGCGUUUAUAUUAAUAUUUUUAUUCUCUUCUGUCUUAAUCUGAUUUCAUUGUAAUAAAAUCCGUGUGUUAUUUAGAAA